UAGGGAAUCUUCCGCAAUGGACGAAAGUCUGACGGAGCAACGCCGCGUGAGUGAAGAAGGAUUUCGGUUCGUAAAACUCUGUUGUUAGGGAAGAAAAAAUGUAUAGUAACUAUAUACAAAAGAGACGGUACCUAACCAGAAAGCCACGGCUAACUACGUGCCAGCAGCCGCGGUAAUACGUAGGUGGCAAGCGUUGUCCGGAAUUAUUGGGCGUAAAGCGCGCGCAGGUGGUUUAGAAAGUCUGAUGUGAAAGCCCACGGUUCAACCGUGGAGGGUCAUUGGAAACUAAUAAACUUGAGUGCAGGAGAGAAAAGUGGAAUUCCUAGUGUAGCGGUGAAGUGCGUAGAGAUUAGUAGGAACACCGGUGGCAAAAGCGGCUUUUUGGCCUGCAACUGACACUGAGGCGCGAAAGCGUGGGGAGCAAACAGG
rnacentral:rRNA from 1 species